rnacentral:rRNA from 1 species
CAGCAGCCACGGGAAAACCAGCACCUCGAGUGGUCAGGAGGUUUAUUGGGCCUAAAGCAUCCGUAGCCGGUUGCAUAAGUUUUCGGUUAAAUCUAUGCGCUUAACGUAUAGGCCGCCGAAAAUACUGUGCAGCUAGGGAGUGGGAGAGGUACACGGUACUCGAUAGGAAGGGGUAAAAUCCUUUGAUCUAUUGAUGACCACCUGUGGCGAAGGCGGUGUACCAGAACACGUUCGACGGUGAGGGAUGAAAGCUGGGGGAGCAAACCGGAUUAGAUACCCCCGUAGUCCCUGUCUCUUAUAC